rnacentral:rRNA from 1 species
CCAGUCGCCGUAGGUAGCACGCUCCCCCUCUUCCUCCUCCCAAAGUCCACCGCCCAUGCCGAGCAACCGAAUCGGGAUCGAUCGCUCGUCUCCUCCCCUCCCCGUCGCCGCCGCCUCGGGCUCGCUUGGUGCAGAUCGGGACCCUCAGCCCGCCCCGACGGGCCGGAUCCCGCCUUGCACCAAGUGAAUCGGAGCCGGCGCAGCGACCACGCCGCCGCUUUCGCCGUCUCUCCGCGCCCCGAAUUGGUCGAUUCUCUGGCGCCGUUGGUUUCGGCUGGUUCGAUCGGUCCGAGGCUGGUGGUUGGUUGCUGCUACUCGCUGCCGAUUUUUAUGCGCGAUUCCGUAUGUUCGCUCGUGCCCGUGGCGUGCCUCUGAUAUUUGCAAAAUUCGCUAGAUCUAGAUCCGGUGCCUAGCUUUAAUUGUUGCCUGCUUGAUCUGACGGAUUUUUUGUUGCCAAGCAAGAUCUAAUCCAUAUUUUUUGUCAGGAUUCGUGCCACGCUAUGGUGCAAGUUGCGCCCCAAAUUGUGUUGCAGGGGAGGCCGUGGUACGCUAUGAGAUGGUUCGAAUUAGCUAGUCGUGACGCGAAUUUCGAUUUGGAUCAUGUGGCAGGUCUUGUGUAUGGUACUAGUAGAUUCAGUAUUUGGCCUGAUUGAACUGUGGAGAACAUUUAUUGAUGUAGAUAGAUACUGGUAUAUAAUUUUACUACUUGUAGUAUGGGCGUAUCUCUGGCUAGCAGCUCUGUACUCUGCAGGAUACUGGGAAUUGUGGUGGACUCUUUUGGGAGGAUACACGAGCUGCAUGUGUCUCCAUAUGCUUUAUUUAGCACGUUUGCUGUAGUCUGAUGUGAAUUGUCUUCAGGGCAGAUGCUAAUUCCAGAGAUUUGAAACCUGUAAGGUCUACAGUAGGCUUGUUCUGUUCAUCUGGGGAUUUUCAGCCUUUUGAUUCAAGACCUACCUGUAAGGUUUGAGCUUUGAUUUGUCAAAAGCUUAAACCUUAUUCAGCAAUGAUGAAGUGGAUAGGCACAAGUAUCAAAGUUUACAUAGGGAUAGGGGGUGCAGGGAGCUAUUUUAUUUUUUGUAUGGUUUUAACUAGUACUAAUCUCGAUCCCAUCUGUGAAUCUUGAUAGGAGCAAAAGAUGUAGGUUUCCAAAGGUUUUUGAAAGUGUGCCAAGUUUGUACUUGUUUCUGUUGCUUCCUGGAUGUGUCACUAGUUAUGCUGUACCAUGUGGUCAUUGGUUGUAUCAGAAUGAACUUGCAACCUGGUUCUGGUUUUGAGCAAACAGUUGUGUAAUGGGCUGAAGCAAUAGCAAAAGAGAAAAGUGAGUUUCAAACAGUGAACUGGUCGAAUCCAAAGCGACUCUUACGUUGUAUCCAACUUCAGAUUAGAUGUUUAAUCAUUCCCUGGCUUGUCAACAGUUUUUCCUCUGGGAUGAAUUGACAGUGCACGUCUGAUUGUUGGGACGUGAGUUUUCCUG